GGAAUAUUGCACAAUGGGCGAAAGCCUGAUGCAGCCAUGCCGCGUGUAUGAAGAAGGCCUUCGGGUUGUAAAGUACUUUCAGUUGUGAGGAAGGGGGUAACGUUAAUAGCGUUAUCUCUUGACGUUAGCAACAGAAGAAGCACCGGCUAACUCCGUGCCAGCAGCCGCGGUAAUACGGAGGGUGCGAGCGUUAAUCGGAAUUACUGGGCGU
rnacentral:rRNA from 1 species